CCUACGGGUGGCAGCAGUGAGGAAUAUUGGUCAAUGGACGAGAGUCUGAACCAGCCAAGUAGCGUGAAGGAUGACUGCCCUAUGGGUUGUAAACUUCUUUUAUAAAGGAAUAAAACGAGGCACGUGUGCCUUUUUGUAUGUACUUUAUGAAUAAGGAUCGGCGAACUCCGUGCCAGCAGCCGCGGGAAUACGGAGGAUCCGAGCGUUAUCCGGAUUUAUUGGGUGUAAAGGGAGCGUAGAUGGGUUGUUAAGUCAGUUGUGAAAGUUUGCGGCUCAACCGUAAAAUUGCAAUUGAUACUGGCAGUCUUGAGUACAGUUGAGGUAGGCGGAAUUCGUGGUGUAGCGGUGAAAUGCUUAGAUAUCACGAAGAACUCCGAUUGCGAAGGCAGCUUACUAAACUGCCACUGACAUUGAUGCUCGAAAGUGUGGGUAUCAAACAGGAUUAGAUACCCCGGUAGUC
rnacentral:rRNA from 1 species